rnacentral:rRNA from 1 species
AGCGAACGCUGGCGGCAGGCCUAACACAUGCAAGUCGAACGAUCCUUCGGGAUAGUGGCGGACGGGUGAGUAACACGUGGGAACGUGCCCUUUGGUUCGGAACAACUCAGGGAAACUUGAGCUAAUACCGAAUGUGCCCUUCGGGGGAAAGAUUUAUCGCCAUUGGAGCGGCCCGCGUCUGAUUAGCUAGUUGGUGAGGUAAUGGCCCACCAAGGCGACGAUCAGUAGCUGGUCUGAGAGGAUGAUCAGCCACACUGGGACUGAGACACGGCCCAGACUCCUACGGGAGGCAGCAGUGGGGAAUCUUGCGCAAUGGGCGAAAGCCUGACGCAGCCAUGCCGCGUGAAUGAUGAAGGUCUUAGGAUUGUAAAAUUCUUUCACCGGGGACGAUAAUGACGGUACCCGGAGAAGAAGCUCCGGCUAACUUCGUGCCAGCAGCCGCAGUAAAAC